UGCAAGAAGAAAAACUAAGCAUUUGUGUCCAACCCUCGGUCAAGUCUCCAAGAAGAGAUUUACCUGACUCAACAUCAUAUAAGGAGUCACAGCAUCAGUGCAGGGAACACCCUUAUGCAGGUUGUUAUCGCACUAGAGGAACACCGUCAGAAGAGGUGGAGAACUCGGAGCCUGCCAAAGACAAACUUCAUGAGAAAAUCUUUACAGAAUUAACCGUGCGACGCUCACUUUACGACAAGAGGCAGCUGCAGAGGGACAGCUCCAUCCAAGAGAGGAGAGUCAGGCCAAAAACCAGAGACUAUCUCAGUCAUUCUUCUUCAACUUGGUACCCAAACUCCUUUUUAGCCCCCACACUUUCCUCACAGCCCUCCCCACACAGUCGACUGCAGACAGAGGCUUUCUACAUGUUGCAUCCUAAAGGUGCUGAAAGCAUCAUCUCAUACCCAGAGACAAUCUUUGAUCCCUAUCAAGCUGCACUGAACGCCGGGUGCAGCUACUUUCAUUUUGACCAAAGAUUUGUGAAAUGCAACAUCUUUCAAGACUUCUUUACGCCGCCUUUUUAUUUUCCCCUUGAUGUGCAGGAAGCAUGUUCUCUUAAAAGAGAUUCCCUCACUGUUUCAGAACACUGGAAGAAGACAUACAGAACACCUCUGAGUCUUCAGAGCUACUCUGAUUGAAACGACGGCCAAACCAUCACUCUGAUUUUACUGGAAAUUUUACUGGACUCCCAAAUAUUACUGGUUAAAAGUUUUUUUGUUUUUUUUUUUUCAUUUAUGAGCUGUAUGAUUGAAAUAUUUUACUGUAAAUCUAAAAAUAAAUUUGAUCAACCAGCACCACUAAAAAAAUAAAUAAGAUCCCACUUUAACUGGAAUCGUAUUAUUUCCCCUUACUUCAAGGUCAAAGUUUUGAAAUAUAGUGGGGCAAAAAAGUAUUUUUAAAAAAGUAUUUAAACAAUUGUGUAAGUGAGAGAGGCCUGUAAUUUUCCUCAUAGGUAUACGUCAAUUAUAGGAGACAAAAUUAGAAAAA